CAUUAUCGUAUAAUGGAGGUGCUGGGGUUGUCGCUGACUUUUGAAAGGGUCGUGCACACCUUGGUGCUCUCACACAUAAUCCAUCUCACCCCUUUUGUGCAUCACCGCGUGGGGACCCCUCUUGGCUAGUUCUGAGGGGGGUCUUCACGUUUUUACACACACACACCCUUUUUAAUGCAAUGCGUAGAAUGUCUUACCUUUUGCGAUCACACGCAAUCAAUACAACUUUCAACAACGGAUCUCUUGGCUCUCGCAUCGAUGAAGAACGCAGCGAAAUGCGAUACGUAAUGUGAAUUGCAGAAUUCAGUGAAUCAUCGAAUCUUUGAACGCACCUUGCGCCCUUUGGCAUUCCGAGGGGCACACCCGUUUGAGUGUCAUGACAUCCUCAAAACCUUCUUGGUUUCUUGACCGGGAAGGCUUUGGACUUUGGAGGCUUUUGCUGGCAUUCCUUUGUCGGAGCCAGCUCCUCUGAAAUGAAUUAGUGGGGUCUGCUUUGCCGAUCCUUGACGUGAUAAGAUGUUUUCUACGUCUUGGGUUUCGCACUGUUCCUGCUUCUAACUGUCUCGUAGAAGACGAUGGUCACUUGACCCACAAACCUUGACCUCAAAUCGGGUGAGACUACCC
rnacentral:rRNA from 1 species